rnacentral:rRNA from 1 species
AUUGAACGCUGGCGGAAUGCUUUACACAUGCAAGUCGAGCGGCAGCGCGGGGGCAACCCUGGCGGCGAGCGGCGAACGGGUGAGUAACAUAUCGGAACGUACCCAGUAAUGGGGGAUAACUACCCGAAAGGGUAGCUAAUACCGCAUACGCCCUGAGGGGGAAAGCGGGGGAUCGAAAGACCUCGCGUUAUUGGAGCGGCCGAUAUCGGAUUAGCUAGUUGGUGGGGUAAAGGCUCACCAAGGCGACGAUCCGUAGCGGGUCUGAGAGGACGACCCGCCACACUGGAACUGAGACACGGUCCAGACUCCUACGGGAGGCAGCAGUGGGGAAUUUUGGACAAUGGGGGGCAACCCUGAUCCAGCCAUUCCGCGUGAGUGAAGAAGGCCUCGGUUGUAAG